CAUGUAGGCGGGCUUUUAAGUCUGACGUGAAAAUGCGGGGCUUAACCCCGUAUGGCGUUGGAUACUGGAAGUCUUGAGUGCAGGAGAGGAAAGGGGAAUUCCCAGUGUAGCGGUGAAAUGCGUAGAUAUUGGGAGGAACACCAGUGGCGAAGGCGCCUUUCUGGACUGUGUCUGACGCUGAGAUGCGAAAGCCAGGGUAGGCAAACG
rnacentral:rRNA from 1 species